GUGAAAUUGUUGAAAGGGAAGCGCUUACAGACAGACUUGCGCGCGGCGGUUCCCCCUGCCUUUUGGUUGGGCUACUCCGGCGUGUCCAGGCCAACAUCGGUUCUGGGGGUCGGUUAAAGACCCUGGGAAUGUAUCUACCCUUCGGGCGUAGACUUAUAGCCCAGGGUGUCAUGCGGCCUCCCGGGACCGAGGAACGCGCUUCGGCUCGGAUGUUGGCGUAAUGGUUGUCAGCGACCCGUCUUGAAACACGG
rnacentral:rRNA from 1 species